rnacentral:rRNA from 1 species
UACGUAGGGGGCUAGCGUUGCUCGGAAUCAUUGGGCGUAAAGCGCACGUAGGCGGCCUCUUAAGUCAGGGGUGAAAUCCUGGAGCUCAACUCCAGAACUGCCUUUGAUACUGGGAGUCUUGAGUUCGGGAGAGGUGAGUGGAACUGCGAGUGUAGAGGUGAAAUUCGUAGAUAUUCGCAAGAACACCAGUGGCGAAGGCGGCUCACUGGGCCGAUACUGACGCUGAGGUGCGAAAGCGUGGGGAGCAAACAGG